rnacentral:lncRNA from 1 species
GUUUGCUCACUCUCUCUUAUCUCAUGGGGAAAGGCCUCACAUGAGGACACAGUGAGAAGGCAGUCAUCUACAAGUCAGGAAGAGAGCCUUCACCAGAAAUGGAAUUUGUUGGCAUGCUGAUCAUGGACUUCCAGCCUCCAGAACUGUGACAAGAUAAAUGUCUGUUUUUGGCUGGGCAUGGUGGCUCACACCUGUAAUCCCAGCAUUUUGGGAGGACGAGGAUGUACUUUUAACUCUUGGAUCAGAACAGCAUGCCUGGGACUGGUCUUCAUGUAAGAAGCGGAGGGAAUUCCAGAUUGAAUUGAAGGACACCAGACAGAAAGAUCUAUUGCUGGCCAGGUGUGGUGGCUCAUGUCUGUAAUCCCAGCACUUUGGGAGGCCGAGGUGGGUGGAUCGCUUGAGUCCAGGAGUUUGAGACCAGCCUGGGUGACAUGGAGAAAUUCCAUCUCUACCUCAAAAAGAAAG